CCUACGGGAGGCAGCAGUGGGGAAUAUUGCACAAUGGGGGAAACCCUGAUGCAGCAACGCCGCGUGAGUGAGGAAGUAUUUCGGUAUGUAAAGCUCUAUCAGCAGGGAAUAGAAAAGAAGGUACCUGAAAAAGAAGCCCCGGCUAACUACGUGCCAGCAGCCGCGGUAAUACGUAGGGGGCAAGCGUUAUCCGGAUUUACUGGGUGUAAAGGGAGCGUAGACGGAAAGGCAAGUCAGAAGUGAAAACCCAAGGCUCAACCAUGGGACUGCUUUUGAAACUGUCAAACUAGAGUACGGGAGAGGUAAGAGGAAUUCCUAGUGUAGCGGUGAAAUGCGUAGAUAUUAGGAAGAACACCAGUGGCGAAGGCGGCUUUCUGGACUGAAACUGACGCUGAGGCACGAAAGCGUGGGGAGCGAACAGGAUUAGAUACCCCAGUAGUC
rnacentral:rRNA from 1 species